AAAGGUGACAAGAUGACAUUACUUUCACUUCUCAUACUGUAAUUAAAAUCCACUAUUAUUGCAUUCAACUUAAUUCACCCUUUGUAUCAUGCAGUUUUAAGGGUGUUGGGAAACCAACUCAAAUCCAACAUUCUGGACUUUGCUUUAACUUUAAGGAAUUUAAUGUUGCAAUAUGAGACUCUCACCACCCUCCUUCCCACCCUACCCACACACACUAGUCAAAUAUGCAAGCCAGACGAAAGAACGAUAGAUCUCAAAUAGCUAUUCAAUCUUUGUGUUAGGAUGCAGAAAGCUGAGGAAAUGCCUGGAGGUUUUCUAAAUGUCAGCACCAUGAAUCUACUGCUCUUGGUUCCCAUCAGGGAUAGUGGAGGUUCAGAGAGUCCAUGACUCUCAAACCACAUCUGCUUCAGGAUUCCCUCACUGGGUCAAAGGAAGCUUGUUGUUGACAUCAGUUAAAGCUCAUUGGUUUGGAUUACAGUUUACUUAUUUUCAAAGAGUUAACUUUUGAAAUAACCCUUUUCCACAUGACCACAGAAGUAAUGAAUUAAGCAUGGUGGUAGAUCUGUCUGAAAGAUGUGGACCACUUUUCUAGCAAACAGGUAUCCCAUGAAGUGUUGGGAGUCUGUCCUACUCAUAGUAAAGUGGUCAUGGGUAGUUCCUGUGCUUUGCCUCGUGGGAUCCAACAUUUUUUGCAUUCCUACCCUAAUCACCCAAAAGCUAAACAUGAGCAAGAAUGCUGCCCAGUGAAUUCUAUUUGUUCUAUUUUGGAGAGUGAUUAACAACUUAAUAACGUCUUUCCUCUUGGCAUGUCUUAAAAUCAUAAUGCCAAGUAAGACAAACUAAAGUGACAUGGCUAAGAGACACAUAGCGAGAAGGUAUUGAGCAGUACCAUGAAGAGAAGCCAUCAGGCACCAGAGUCUUGAACAGGAGGAAGCUAUGGGGCAGAGAGGAAACUUGCAAGAAGAAAAUCAGCCCUGGCAAUGGAAGUGAGUAGGGAGAAGCAGAACAGAGAAGCUGGACCACAAGCCUGUGGUUACUAGCCUGGUUGAUUGAUUGGCACCAGAAUGCUGCAGUAUUCUGAUCAACAUUCCGGUUCCUGAGGACUGGCCGUGCAGGGUUGAGGCCGUUUCCUGUGUUUCCUUACUUCUCCAUUAGAUCCUGACAAUAAAGUGCCACCCAUCCCUUGAGGAAACUGCUCUAUGUUCCUUGUCACCUGAAAGAACAUAAUGAAAACAUCCAGCCAUAAGCAGCAUGUAGGAAUUUGUUCACAGAGGAAUUCUCCAGCAUUGAUUGGGACAGGAAAUUUCAAAUGUCAAUAAAACUGACUUUGCUUUGCCAUUAUACAAUUUUUUCUGUGU
rnacentral:lncRNA from 1 species